CUGUGGGAAAUAAGUCUGUAAAUAUGAAAAGUUCCAGAAAUGAAGUUGUUAGAGCAACCAUUGGCUCAUACUUGAAACGACGUAAUUAUACGGUACGUGAAGUGACUCUGAACUUUCAAUUCCUAUUGAAAUCGAAUUAGCGCCAGGAACCUAUGUUUUUCGAACAUAACCUUAAUACUAACUUCAUAUAACAGUGGUAGGACAUGAUACUAUUGUGGCGUCUCGGAAUUUAUGCCUACUGAAUUUUAAUGCAUUCUGAACAAGGUUUGACACCAGCCAUUAUUCCAACACUGCCAGGCAUAACAUGCUAGUAAAAAUAUAGAAUUGUGUCAGCAGAGAACUCUACCAACAGCGUUGUGUUACUUUUUCUUUUAUUGUGUGGGUGCCUUUUAGAAAAUGGAAGAAGUUUGUAGUAGGCAUACUCGUAAUCAGGGGAAUUGAGGGGAGUGAAAUUAGCAUGUGUGUGAAAUUCAUCAGAAUUUAAAGUUACUGGCUGCUGCACUAUCAGA